GACAGAGGGUGCAAACGUUGUUCGGAUUUACUGGGCGUAAAGCGCGUGUAGGCGGCUUCGUAAGUUGGAUGUGAAAUCCCACGACUCAACCGUGGACGUGCAUCCAAAACUACGUCGCUGGAGUCUCGGAGAGGAAGGUGGAAUGCUUGGUGUAGAGGUGAAAUUCGUAGAUAUCAAGCAGAACACCUGCGGCGAAGGCGGCCUUCUGGACGAUGACUGACGCUGAGACGCGAAAGCGUGGGGAGCAAACAGG
rnacentral:rRNA from 1 species